GACGAACGCUGGCGGCGUGCUUAACACAUGCAAGUCGAACGGAAAGGCCCUGCUUUUGUGUGGUGCUCGAGUGGCGAACGGAUGAGUAUCACGUUAGUAACCUGCCCUCUACUUGGUGAUAACUUCAGAAAACUGGGGAUACUACCGGAUAGGUGCUCCUGCUGCAUGGGGGGGGUUGGAAAGUUUCGGCGGUUGGGGAUGGACUCGCGGCUUAUCAGCUUGUUGGUGGGGUAGUGGCUUACCAAGGCUUUGACGGGUAGCCGGCCUGAGAGGGUGACCGGCCACAUUGGGACUGAGAUACGGCCCAGACUCCUACGGGAGGCAGCAGUGGGGAAUAUUGCACAAUGGGCGGAAGCCUGAUGCAGCAACGCCGCGUGCGGGAUGACGGCCUUCGGGUUGUAAACCGCUUUCGCCUGUGACGAAGCGUGAGUGACGGUAAUGGGUAAAGAAGCACCGGCUAACUACGUG
rnacentral:rRNA from 1 species